rnacentral:rRNA from 1 species
CCUACGGGUGGCAGCAGUGAGGAAUAUUGGUCAAUGGGCGCGAGCCUGAACCAGCCAAGUAGCGUGAAGGAUGACUGCCCUACGGGUUGUAAACUUCUUUUAUAAAGGAAUAAAGUGAGGCACGUGUGCCGUUUUGUAUGUACUUUAUGAAUAAGGAUCGGCUAACUCCGUGCCAGCAGCCGCGGUAAUACGGAGGAUCCGAGCGUUAUCCGGAUUUAUUGGGUUUAAAGGGAGCGUAGAUGGGUUGUGAAGUGAGCUGUGAAAGUUUGCGGCUCAACCGUAACAUUGCAGUUGAUACUGGCAGUCUUGAGUACACUUGAGGCAGGCGGAAUUCGUCGUGUAGCGGUGAAAUGCUGAGAUAGCACGAAGAACUCCGAUUGCGAAGGCAGCUUACUAAACUGCCACUGACAUUGAUGCUCGAAAGUGUGGGUAUCGAACAGGAUUAGAUACCCCUGUAGUC